GCUGGGUGGCAGAGUGGUUAUGCAGCGGACUGCAACUCCGUGUACGCCGGUUCGAAAGCUGCAUCGCAGCG
rnacentral:tRNA from 1 species